GUAUACAAAUAAAUAAUGUAUAAAUCCUUAUCAGUUUUUUCUCUAAUGGGAGUUUUUGUUCACUUAAACAGGAGUUAACCCUGGAAUUGUGGCAUACAACCUAAUAAGCUGUUUAUCAUUAGUUUGUUACGCACAAGACAGCAUGGAUUUUAAAACAAUUUUGUUUUUAUCAUACUGGUAGCAACCUGCAUUUCUUCUCCACUUAUGCAAGAAGUUGGGAAAAGUGUGCACUUCAGUGUUUCAAUGAAAGAAGCUGUCUGUUUUGGUCUUGGAAUAUGGCAACUAAUGAUUGCUUAUUAAUGGAUACUUGUGAUUUAAAAAGGAGCCGUCAAUAUAUCUCUGGAACAUAUAAUUGUUUUGAGCAAGAAGAAACCAAUGUUUAAUAUGAAAUAUGUUGGAAGUUAUUUAAGGCAUGUAGAGCUAAAUAAUAAGAACCCUAAUUGGUUAAAAAAGUUCUUUAUUUGUUAAAUACACAACUUCAAAUAUA